rnacentral:rRNA from 1 species
CCAAUAGCGUAUAUUAAAGUUGUUGCAGUUGAAAAGCUCGUAGUUGAAUUUCGGGUUCAAUAUGUCGGUCGUGCUUCGGUACGUACUGGCGUUAUUGGUUUCUCCCUUCUGAAGGACCGCGAUGUCAUUAAUUUGGUGUCGUGGGGAAUCAGGACUGUUACUUUGAAAAAAUUAGAGUGUUUAAAGCAGGCUCGCGCUUGAAUACAUUAGCAUGGAAUAAUGAAAUAGGACGUUUGAUUCUAUUUUGUUGGUUUCUAGGAUCGACGUAAUGAUUAAUAGGGAUAGUUGGGGGCAUUAGUAUUCAAUUGUCAGAGGUGAAAUUCUUGGAUUUAUUGAAGACUAACUACUGCGAAAGCAUUUGCCAAGGAUGUUUUCAUUAAUCAAGAACGAAAGUUAGGGGAUCGAAGACGAUCAGAUACCGUCGUAGUCUUAACCAUAAACUAUGCCGACUAGGGAUCGGAUGAUGUUAAUUUUUUAAUGACUCAUUCGGCGCCUUACG